UUAUUAUAGCAAAGAGGAUACACCUGUUCCCAUUCCGAACACAGAAGUUAAGCUCUUUAGCGCCGAUGGUACUUGGUGGGAAGCUGCCUGGGAGAGUAGGACGUA
rnacentral:rRNA from 1 species